rnacentral:lncRNA from 1 species
UCCCUUUACGCCCCUCAUUUAAUUGUCAUAGAACUGUAAACAAACAAUGACAGGCCUGCAGCUGACUAUACAGUAUUGAUUGUGAUUAAUAUUGAAAGCAGUAUGAUGACCUAAAGUUGCUUAUAUCUCGACAAUGGUGGAUAAUUGACUCAUUGGCAAUUCUACCACAUCUCCUUAAUUCAUUCGAUUAAAAUCAACCAAUCAAGAUGCCUACCUGUACACUCUAAGUCUCUUCUCUAGUGUAUGAUCUCUCUUUUAUAUCAAUUUCAAAAUUCAUAUCUGCUUCCUCUUAUAUAUAUCAUACAUUGGAAUGUC